AGGAGAAACAUUGAAUGGCAGCCAGCGCAGUUAGCCAGAGGUUUAUCAAUCGAAGGUGAGGCUCAACUUCCUACUGCCUCACCGGCUUCACUUCCGAGCAUUUAAAUGGGAAAAUGCAAAAAUUCAGCAAUUUUUAAGAAAAAAUAAUCAGAAUUUGUUAAGCUACAUGAAAAAUAGGUACUUUACAGUA